GUAAUGUUUACCUGGUAUUUUAUUGCUUUUAUCGUAACGGACUCUUAAUCCGAAGGUCCGGGGUUCGAAACCCCGCCGGUCCACCA
rnacentral:tRNA from 1 species